GCGGCGUGCUUAACACAUGCAAGUCGAACGAACCUUCGGGUUAGUGGCGGACGGGUGAGUAACGCGUGAGAAUCUGCCCUCAGGAGGGGGAUAACGGUUGGAAACGACCGCUAAUACCCCAUAUGCCGCGAGGUGAAAUGAAUUUCGCCUGAGGAUGAGCUCGCGUCUGAUUAGCUAGUUGGUGGGGUAAAGGCUUACCAAGGCAUCGAUCAGUAGCUGGUCUGAGAGGAUGAUCAGCCACACUGGGACUGAGACACGGCCCAGACUCCUACGGGAGGCAGCAGUGGGGAAUUUUCCGCAAUGGGCGAAAGCCUGACGGAGCAACGCCGCGUGAGGGAUGAAGGCCUCUGGGCUGUAAACCUCUUUUAUCAAGGAAGAAGAUCUGACGGUACUUGAUGAAUAAGCCACGGCUAAU
rnacentral:rRNA from 1 species